AGAGUUUGAUCAUGGCUCAGAAUCAACGCUGGCGGCGUGCCUAACACAUGCAAGUCGAACGAGAAAGGGUAGCAAUACCUGAGUACAGUGGCGCACGGGUGAGUAACACGUGAUUUAUCUACCCUCGAGCGGGGAAUAACUUAGGGAAACCUGAGCUAAUACCGCAUAAUACCUACGGGUCAAAGGAGUAAUCCACUUGAGGAGGAGAUCGCGGCCGAUUAGCUAGUUGGCGGGGUAAUGGCCCACCAAGGCAAUGAUCGGUAUCCGGCCUGAGAGGGCGCACGGACACACUGGAACUGAAACACGGUCCAGACUCCUACGGGAGGCAGCAGUGGGGAAUUUUGCGCAAUGGGGGAAACCCUGACGCAGCAACGCCGCGUGGAGGAUGAAAUCCCUUGGGAUGUAAACUCCUUUCGAUCGGGACGAUUAUGACGGUACCGGAAGAAGAAGCCCCGGCUAACUUCGUGCCAGCAGCCGCGGUAAUACGAGGGGGGCAAGCGUUGUUCGGAAUUAUUGGGCGUAAAGGGUGUGUAGGCGGUUUGGUAAGUCGUGUGUGAAAUCUUCGGGCUCAACUCGAAGUCUGCACACGAAACUGCCGGGCUUGAGUAUGGGAGAGGUGAGUGGAAUUCCUGGUGUAGCGGUGAAAUGCGUAGAUAUCAGGAGGAACACCUGUGGCGAAAGCGGCUCACUGGACCAUUACUGACGCUGAAACACGAAAGCUAGGGGAGCAAACAGGAUUAGAUACCCUAGUAGUCC
rnacentral:rRNA from 1 species